GGGAAGGUGGCUUAAUGGUAGAGCAUUUGCCUUGCAUGCAUGAGGCCCUGGGUUUGAUUCCUCACCACCACA
rfam:Dipodomys ordii contig_29730, whole genome shotgun sequence.